rnacentral:rRNA from 1 species
CCUUUGGACAAUGGUAGGAGAGCGUUCUAAGGGCGUUGAAGCAUGAUCGUAAGGACAUGUGGAGCGCUUAGAAGUGAGAAUGCCGGUGUGAGUAGCGAAAGACGGGUGAGAAUCCCGUCCACCGAUUGACUAAGGUUUCCAGAGGAAGGCUCGUCCGCUCUGGGUUAGUCGGGUCCUAAGCUGAGGCCGACAGGCGUAGGCGAUGGAUAACAGGUUGAUAUUCCUGUACCACCUAUAAUCGUUUUAAUCGAUGGGGGGACGCAGUAGGAUAGGCGAAGCGUGCGAUUGGAUUGCACGUCUAAGCAGUAAGGCUGAGUAUUAGGCAAAUCCGGUACUCGUUAAGGCUGAGCUGUGAUGGGGAGAAGACAUUGUGUCUUCGAGUCGUUGAUUUCACACUGCCGAGAAAAGCCUCUAGAUAGAAAAUAGGUGCCCGUACCGCAAACCGACACAGGUAGUCAAGAUGAGAAUUCUAAGGUGAGCGAGCGAACUCUCGUUAAGGAACUCGGCAAAAUGACCCCGUAACUUCGGGAGAAGGGGUGCUCUUUAGGGUUAACGCCCAGAAGAGCCGCAGUGAAUAGGCCCAAGCGACUGUUUAUCAAAAACACAGGUCUCUGCUAAACCGUAAGGUGAUGUAUAGGGGCUGACGCCUGCCCGGUGCUGGAAGGUUAAGAGGAGUGGUUAGCUUCUGCGAAGCUACGAAUCGAAGCCCCAGUAAACGGCGGCCGUAACUAUAACGGUCCUAAGGUAGCGAAAUUCCUUGUCGGGUAAGUUCCGACCCGCACGAAAGGCGUAACGAUUUGGGCACUGUCUCAACGAGAGACUCGGUGAAAUCAUAGUACCUGUGAAGAUGCAGGUUACCCGCGACAGGACGGAAAGACCCCGUGGAGCUUUACUGUAGCCUGAUAUUGAAAUUCGGCACAGCUUGUACAGGAUAGGUAGGAGCCUUUGAAACGUGAGCGCUAGCUUACGUGGAGGCGCUGGUGGGAUACUACCCUAGCUGUGUUGGCUUUCUAACCCGCACCACUUAUCGUGGUGGGAGACAGUGUCAGGCGGGCAGUUUGACUGGGGCGGUCGCCUCCUAAAAGGUAACGGAGGCGCUCAAAGGUUCCCUCAGAAUGGUUGGAAAUCAUUCAUAGAGUGUAAAGGCAUAAGGGAGCUUGACUGCGAGACCUACAAGUCGAGCAGGGUCGAAAGACGGACUUAGUGAUCCGGUGGUUCCGCAUGGAAGGGCCAUCGCUCAACGGAUAAAAGCUACCCCGGGGAUAACAGGCUUAUCUCCCCCAAGAGUUCACAUCGACGGGGAGGUUUGGCACCUCGAUGUCGGCUCAUCGCAUCCUGGGGCUGUAGUCGGUCCCAAGGGUUGGGCUGUUCGCCCAUUAAAGCGGUACGCGAGCUGGGUUCAGAACGUCGUGAGACAGUUCGGUCCCUAUCCGUCGUGGGCGUAGGAAAUUUGAGAGGAGCUGUCCUUAGUACGAGAGGACCGGGAUGGACAUACCUCUGGUGUACCAGUUGUCGUGCCAACGGCAUAGCUGGGUAGCUAUGUGUGGACGGGAUAAGUGCUGAAAGCAUCUAAGCAUGAAGCCCCCCUCAA